UACGGGGGGGGCAAGCGUUGUUCGGAAUUACUGGGCGUAAAGGGCUCGUAGGCGGCCAACUAAGUCGAACGUGAAAUCCCCGGGCUCAACCCGGGAACUGCGUCCGAUACUGGUGGGCUUGAAUCCGGGAGAGGGAUGCGGAAUUCCAGGUGUAGCGGUGAAAUGCGUAGAUAUCUGGAGGAACACCGGUGGCGAAGGCGGCAUCCUGGACCGGCGUUGACGCUGAGGCGCGAAAGCCAGGGGAGCAAACGGG
rnacentral:rRNA from 1 species